rnacentral:lncRNA from 1 species
UUGUCCCAAUUUUGGCCUGCAAAGACUUCCUUCUCUCGCCUCUACUAUCCAACUCCUGUGAGGGACUCAGGCAUAGUUCGGGCGGAGGCAGAAAGAGCGAGCGCGCGAAGAACUUCGGUAUUGAGGUUGCUAAGGCUUCUCCUCAUGUGCUUCAAGAGAAAGGAGAGCGCUUGUGACGCUACGAACCUCUCGAACACCUGACGACUGGGCGCCAGGGCCGGAUGGAGGGUGGAGAGCCAGUGCGGCGCAGCUGCCUCCUCUUAACGGGGACACCUUGCAGGAAUGUGCGGAGUGGAGCUAACGGGAGCGGAUAGAAACCGAGGGAGGGGAAGAGAGCGCGAAGGCUUGGCCGGAAGGAGAGGUUAAAAAGGAAAGGCCUAAAAUGAGGAAGAGAGUUACCACAACAAGCAGUACCUAGUUCCAGUUCUUGGUCCCAGGAGUUUGUGGUUGUUGCUGCUUUCAUCUUCCUCAGCCAACACAAAAGGAAAGUGCCAAGGGGCGAUUCCUAGGACCUUCAGUGCAGUCUCCACCUUGCGGACUUGGCUCAUUUGUGUCCACUCCUUUCUCCAGCCUUUUACACUUGAUGCUCUUGGAUGAAUAGAAAGGAGCACAAUUAAUGGAAAACACAAGCUUGGGAGUCAAGGGAUUUGGGUUCUAUUCUUGUCCUCCCUUGGUGACGACAUCAUUACCUUGGGUUAUUCAAGCUUUCAGUGCCAGAGUUCCUAUAUCAAUAAAAGAUUAUUACAUUGACCUCUUAGAGAAAUGUUUUCAUGGUACUGAAUUGCAAAUAAAGUAUGUGUAGCGAUGUGUUAU